GCGUAGUGGAGAAGACGGAGGAAGAGCUCCGCAAAGAGCUCUUUGAACUCAAUAGGCAACAACGCGAGAUUACUGAGCGGCUUAAGGAUCCAAGAGGUCUUCGACGCGGUGGCGGAGGUCCACGGAGUUUUGUUGCCAAUGGUGGCCGCCAACGCGGCGUUGUUAGACCUGCCGAGAGGAAUGAUGCAGAGGAUCAGCCAGCACCUAAAAGGCGUAUGUCUUCUACUGUUGUGAAGAUUGAAGAGGGGGAGAUUGCUGAGGAUGUAUCCGGAGCUCCAAGGGAUGCAAAUAAGGAAGAGUCAAUUGUGGAGGCAAUCCCCAGGGUGGCACCUGCCAACCAGAAUGAAAGGAAGCCAUCCAAUUGGCUACGAAGAGAUGGCUUUCAAAGGCCAUCCAAAAUGGAUUUUGAUAUACCUCCACCAGAGCCUGUGCCAAGAGUCUUGCCCAAAAACGAGGAUCCUAAAUUGGUUGGUAGGAAUAAGAGAAUGUUGGGGCAGCUGCUGGGGACCUUGGAGAAAUUCCGGAAAGAAGACAUGCAGCUUUCAGGGACAGAGGCUUACAUGCGGAGGUCAGAUUCUUUGAAAAGGGCUGAGCAAAGGGCGCGCGAAGAAAGUGAGAAGUUAAGACAACAAGAGCGGGAGCAGCUUGAUGAAAAGCUGAAAAGAGAUCUGACUCUUCGAGCACGUCUUGCUGCUAAAGCUGAGGAGAAGAGGCUGGAAUUGCUGUUUCUUCGGUGGAUUGAGCACCACAAAAAACUAGCCAAUUUUAUAAGGUUAUUUCUUAUUUCGGUCCAAAUGUCCAUAUUCCAAUUUUAUUGACGCGAAGAUAAGUUUCUGUUCAUGUACAGAAUGUUGAAGCUGUUAAAUGACUGCAAAAUCCCUCUUUGCAGCAGUGUAGGCUGAUCAGUUAUCUAUCCUGGUAACAGUUCAUAAUUUCUCUUUAUAUUUUUUGGCUGUGUUAAUUUCCAGGACCAAAGCCGAGCCCCCGAUCUUUUAUUCUUUUGCCAAACCAUUGGAAGAAGAUUCAACCUUACUUGAGCAGAGAAAAGAUCAGAUAUUCGAGGAAUGGAAAGCUGCAAGGAGAGAGGAAUUGUCGCAAUACCAGAAAAAAAUUGCUGAACAGAAUAUUGCAAAAGCUGAGGAGGAAUGGAAAAAUAUUUUAGAAAGGAGAGCCAACAAAAAUGUUUCAAACCUUCAAGAGACUAUGGACAAAGAGCUAGAGACUCAUAGGCUUGAGCGUGGACCCAAGACUCGAAAGAUUCCUGGUGUCAGCAACAAUGAAGAUGAGGAUGUUGAGGAUAUCAAUGUUGUGGAGGAUGAUAUGAUGGAUGAUGUGCUAGAAGUGGAUGAGAAUAACCAGAGGAGUGAUGAAAAUGUGAAAGUUGAUGCAGGCAAUGGUGAUCCACGGAUUGAUAACAAUGAUGAGCAGUAGAUAUGGAUCUUUCAUCUCCGUAAAGGUUUAGUCAGGAAAUGGGCUUUUAUAAGAAGUGGUGUUUUGUGUUUGGUUGGCUUUUGUGGCAGCUAUAUGUGUCAUGCUGAGCUCCGCUAUGAGGAUUACUUUUAUUUAUGUUAAACCUUCCGAUUUUGUUGUAUCAGCUGAGUGUCUUAUUCGUAGUAUUUAUCAGUAAGAAAAAGAAAGUUACUUCUCUCAAAUACACACCUAUAUUUGAAUGUUUUAUUUGUACUCAUGUGAAGAUUAAUUG
rnacentral:misc_RNA from 1 species